rnacentral:rRNA from 1 species
GACGAACGCUGGCGGCGUGCUUAACACAUGCAAGUCGAACGGAAAGGCCCUGCUUUUGUGGGGUGCUCGAGUGGCGAACGGGUGAGUAACACGUGAGUAACCUGCCCUUGACUUUGGGAUAACUUCAGGAAACUGGGGCUAAUACCGGAUAGGAGCUCCUGCUGCAUGGUGGGGGUUGGAAAGUUUCGGCGGUUGGGGAUGGACUCGCGGCUUAUCAGCUUGUUGGUGGGGUAGUGGCUUACCAAGGCUUUGACGGGUAGCCGGCCUGAGAGGGUGACCGGCACACGUGGGAGGUAGCAGCGGACGAGAAGGAAUGUGGAGGGAGAGGUGGGGAGGUGUGGAGAGGGGGGGGAAGCCGGAGGCAGCACCGCGGGGGGGGGGAGGGCCGCGUUCUGGUUGAAACCCGCGGUGGCGUGUGACGAAGAGUGAGUGGUGGUAAGGAGAAAAGAAGCACCGUCUAACGCCGAGCAAGCGGCGGCGGAAACAAGCGGAAGAGACCCCUCCGAAAC